CAGUCGCCGCGGUAAAACGGAGGGGGCUAGCGUUGUUCGGAAUUACUGGGCGUAAAGCGCACGUAGGCGGCUUUUUAAGUUAGAGGUGAAAGCCUGGAGCUCAACUCCAGAAUUGCCUUUAAGACUGGAUCGCUUGAACGUCGGAGAGGUGAGUGGAAUUCCGAGUGUAGAGGUGAAAUUCGUAGAUAUUCGGAAGAACACCAGUGGCGAAGGCGGCUCACUGGACGACUGUUGACGCUGAGGUGCGAAAGCGUGGGGAGCAAACAGGAUUAGAUACCCCCGUAGUCCCUGUCUCUUAUAC
rnacentral:rRNA from 1 species